rnacentral:sRNA from 1 species
UGUGGCUGUCUGUUUGGGGCCGCUAUA